rnacentral:piRNA from 1 species
UUAUCACCAGAAUGUGCCCCAUAGAAGCAGC